AUUAAAAUACCAGCUCCCGUACAAUCACCGAAGUUAAGCAACGACGGACCUGGUUAGUAACUGGAUGAGUAACCGCUUGAAAAUAUCCGGUGCUGUAAG